GCCGGCAGCUAGUACAUUCAGCAGCUAGCUCUGCAACUCUCACAUGGUCACCCACUGAAGCUAAGCUGGGCUGCACCUGGUCAGUACCUGGAUGGGAGACCAUAUGGAAAAGCUACAGUAGGUUGCUGCCAGAA
rnacentral:rRNA from 1 species